GACUACAUGAAGCUGGAAUCGCUAGUAAUCGCGAAUCAGAAUGUCGCGGUGAAUACGUUCCCGGGCCUUGUACACACCGCCCGUCACACCAUGGGAGUCGGUAACACCCGAAGCCGAUAGUCUAACGAAAGAGGACGUCGUCGAAGGUGGGAUUGAUGACUGGGGUGAAGUCGUAACAAGGUACC
rnacentral:rRNA from 1 species